CAUUAGCCCUUAUUCUAUUCCUGGUAAUUUGUCCAAUACCUUCUAAUUGACUUUUCUUUAGGUUGCAUUGGCUGCUUACUAUGGCUUAUGGGUUAUAAAAGGGUCCAUAACUAUCAUUUUUACACUGUGUUGGUUUUGUUACUCUUAAGUUCGUUCAGUGGGUUUUACUUAGCUAAUGUUUUAAUUGAUUGGGUCGCAUUGGAUUGAAUUCUUCAAUAUUUGGACUUGCAAUAGGAUUUAGGAUUACCCUUUUGGUGUUUCUUGAGGCUUAUCUUUU
rnacentral:misc_RNA from 1 species